GAACUGAAACAUCUAAGUACCUGCAGGAAGAGAAAGAAAAAUCGAUUCCCUGAGUAGCGGCGAGCGAAACGGGAAAAGCCCAAACCAAGAGGCUUGCCUCUUGGGGUUGUAGGACUCCGAUAUGGUAGUCCAGUGAGAUAGUCGAAGGACCUGGAAAGGUCUGCUAGAAAGGGUAAAAGCCCCGUAGACAAAAUUUGACUGGCACCUAGGAGGAUCCUGAGUACGGC
rnacentral:rRNA from 1 species